UACGAAGGGGGGCUAGCGUUGCUCGGAAUCACUGGGCGUAAAGCGCACGUAGGCGGCUUUUUAAGUCAGGGGUGAAAUCCUGGAGCUCAACUCCAGAACUGCCUUUGAUACUGGGAGCUCGAGUCCGGGAGAGGUGAGUGGAACUCCGAGUGUAGAGGUGAAAUUCGUAGAUAUUCGGAAGAACACCAGUGGCGAAGGCGGCUCACUGGCCCGGUACUGACGCUGAGGCACGAAAGCGUGGGGAGCAAACAGG
rnacentral:rRNA from 1 species